rnacentral:rRNA from 1 species
UACAGAGGGUGCAAGCGUUGUUCGGAAUUAUUGGGCGUAAAGCGCGUGUAGGCGGCCUUGCAAGUCGGGUGUGAAAGCCCUCAGCUCAACUGAGGAAGCGCGCCCGAAACUGCAGAGCUUGAGUACCGGAGAGGAUGGCGGAAUUCCCCAAGUAGAGGUGAAAUUCGUAGAUAUGGGGAGGAACACCGGUGGCGAAGGCGGCACUCUGGGACGGUACUGACGCUGAGACGCGAAAGCGUGGGGAGCGAACAGG